rnacentral:rRNA from 1 species
GAAUGAACGCUGGCGGCAUGCCUAACACAUGCAAGUCGAACGAAGUCCUUCGGGGCUUAGUGGCGCACGGGUGCGUAACGCGUGGGAAUCUGCCCCUUGGUUCGGAAUAACAGUUGGAAACGACUGCUAAUACCGGAUGAUGACGUAAGUCCAAAGAUUUAUCGCCGAGGGAUGAGCCCGCGUAGGAUUAGGUAGUUGGUGUGGUAAAGGCGCACCAAGCCGACGAUCCUUAGCUGGUCUGAGAGGAUGAUCAGCCACACUGGGACUGAGACACGGCCCAGACUCCUACGGGAGGCAGCAGUGGGGAAUAUUGGACAAUGGGCGAAAGCCUGAUCCAGCAAUGCCGCGUGAGUGAUGAAGGCCUUAGGGUUGUAAAGCUCUUUUACCCGGGAUGAUAAUGACAGUACCGGGAGAAUAAGCUCCGGCUAACUCCGUGCCAGCAGCCGCGGUAAUACGGAGGGAGCUAGCGUUAUUCGGAAUUACUGGGCGUAAAGCGCACGUAGGCGGCUUUGUAAGUAAGAGGUGAAAGCCCAGAGCUCAACUCUGGAAUUGCCUUUUAGACUGCAUCGCUUGAAUCAUGGAGAGGUCAGUGGAAUUCCGAGUGUAGAGGUGAGAUUCGUAGAUAUUCGGAAGAACACCAGUGGCGAAGGCGGCUGACUGGACAUGUAUUGACGCUGAGGUGCGAAAGCGUGGGGAGCAAAC